rnacentral:rRNA from 1 species
GAUGAGCGCUAGCGGGAGGCCUAACACAUGCAAGCCGAGCGGUAUUUGUUCUUCGGAACAGAGAGAGCGGCGUACGGGUGCGGAACACGUGUGCAACCUACCUUUAUCAGGGGGAUAGCCUUUCGAAAGGAAGAUUAAUACCCCAUAAUAUAUUAGAUGGCAUCAUUUGAUAUUGAAAACUCCGGUGGAUAGAGAUGGGCACGCGCAAGAUUAGAUAGUUGGUAGGGUAACGGCCUACCAGGUCAAUGAUCUUUAGGGGGCCUGAGAGGGUGAUCACCCACACUGGUACUAAGACACGGACCUGGCUCCUACGGUAGGCAGCAGUGAGGAAUAUUGGACAAUGCGUGAGAGCCUGAUCCAGCCAUCCCGCGUGAAGGACGACGGCCCUAUUGGUUGUAAACUUCUUUUGUAUAGGGAUAAACCUACUCUCGUGAGAGUAGCUGAAGGUACUAUACGAAUAAGCACCGGCUAACUCCGUGCCAGCCGCCGCAGUAAGAC